UACGUAGGGGGCUAGCGUUGUCCGGAAUCAUUGGGCGUAAAGAGCGCGUAGGCGGCCCGAUAAGUCUGCUGUGAAAGUCCAGGGCUCAACCCUGGAAUGCCGGUGGAUACUGUCGGGCUAGAGUACGGGAAGAGGCGAGUGGAAUUCCUGGUGUAGCGGUGGAAUGCGCAGAUAUCAGGAGGAACACCGGUGGCGAAGGCGGCGUUCUGGACUGCAACUGACACUGAGAAACGAAAGCCAGGGUAGCAAACGGG
rnacentral:rRNA from 1 species